CUCAGGAUGAACGCUAGCGGCAGGCCUAACACAUGCAAGUCGAGGGGUAGAAGGAGCUUGCUCCUUUGAGACCGGCGCACGGGUGCGUAACGCGUAUGCAAUCUACCUUGUACAGGGGAAUAGCCCAGAGAAAUUUGGAUUAAUGCCCCAUAGUAUAUAACCUUCGCAUGUUGGUUAUAUUAAAGUUCCAACGGUAAAAGAUGAGCAUGCGUCCCAUUAGUUAGUUGGUAAGGUAACGGCUUACCAAGACGAUGAUGGGUAGGGGUCCUGAGAGGGAGAUCCCCCACACUGGUACUGAGACACGGACCAGACUCCUACGGGAGGCAGCAGUGAGGAAUAUUGGACAAUGGGCGCAAGCCUGAUCCAGCCAUGCCGCGUGCAGGAAGAAGCAUCUAUGGUGUGUAAACUGCUUUUGUACAGGAAGAAACACUCCCUCGUGAGGGAGCUUGACGGUACUGUAAGAAUAAGGAUCGGCUAACUCCGUG
rnacentral:rRNA from 1 species